rnacentral:rRNA from 1 species
UCCAGGCCCUACGGGGUGCAGCAGGCGCGAAACCUCCGCAAUGUGAGAAAUCGCGACGGGGGGAUCCCAAGUGCCAUUCUUAACGGGAUGGCUUUUCAUUAGUGUAAAGAGCUUUUGGAAUAAGAGCUGGGCAAGACCGGUGCCAGCCGCCGCGGUAACACCGGCAGCUCUAGUGGUAGCAGUUUUUAUUGGGCCUAAAGCGUCCGUAGCCGGUUUAAUAAGUCUCUGGUGAAAUCCUGCAGCUUAACUGUGGGAAUUGCUGGAGAUACUAUUAGACUUGAGAUCGGGAGAGGUUAGAGGUACUCCCAGGGUAGAGGUGAAAUUCUGUAAUCCUGGGAGGACCGCUUGUUGCGAAGGCGUCUGACUGGAACGAUUCUGACGGUGAGGGACGAAAGCUAGGGGCGCGAACCGGAUUAGAUACCCGGGUAGUCCUAGCUGUAAACGAUGCGGACUUGGUGUUGGGGUGGCUUUGAGCUGUCCCAGUGCCGAAGGGAAGCUGUUAAGUCCGCCGCCUGGGAAGUACGGUCGCAAGACUGGAACUUAAAGGAAUUGGCGGGGGAGCACCACAGCGCGUGGAGCCUGCGGUUUAAUUGGAGUCAACGCCGG